rnacentral:rRNA from 1 species
AUUGAACGCUGGCGGCAGGCCUAACACAUGCAAGUCGAACGGUAACAGGAAGAAGCUUGCUUCUUUGCUGACGAGUGGCGGACGGGUGAGUAAUGUCUGGGAAACUGCCUGAUGGAGGGGGAUAACUACUGGAAACGGUAGCUAAUACCGCAUAAUGUCGCAAGACCAAAGAGGGGGACCUUCGGGCCCCUUGCCAUCGGAUGUGCCCAGAUGGGAUUAGCUAGUAGGUGGGGUAACGGCUCACCUAGGCGACGAUCCCUAGCUGGUCUGAGAGGAUGACCAGCCACACUGGAACUGAGACACGGUCCAGACUCCUACGGGAGGCAGCAGUCGGGAAUAUUGCACAAUGGGCGCAAGCCUGAUGCAGCUAUGCCGCGUGUAUGAAGAAGGCCUUCGGGUUGUAAAGUACUUUCAGCGGGGAGGAAGGGAGUAAAGUUAAUACCUUUGCUCAUUGACGCUACCCGCAGAAGAAGCACCGGCUAACUCCGUG